AGAAAUAAUGAGUGAAAAAUCCAUCUAAAACAAACAGAGAUCAUUGGUCCGAUUUUUUAGGCCCUUUUAUAUGCGUUGCGCUUAUCCAUCUCCCCUCCCAUCUCAUUAGCGUUAUGCGGCGGCGGCGGCGACUCGCACGGCUGGAACUACAUCGGCGUCGUGGAGAAGGAGCUCGUCUUCUCACCGGCCAACAAUGCCCUGACUGACUAGGUGGCUGGAAUCCGGCGAUCAUUGCCUUCCGCGUUCCAACAACCGAAUGCCAUCCAUGAGAACAAUGGAUGGAACCCAGUUCUUAGUGGUGGACGUAAAAGUGUACUGCAAGUUCUCCAACCGCAAGCAACUUUGGAGUCCAGCAAUCACUGAUUUGUUUGACUGAGGAGCACUUCCAGAAGUACAUGUGGUGUUAUCUGAAGCUUGCUGGAAGAUAUACCUCUUUCUUCUUCUUCUUCUUCUUCUUCUUCUUCUUCUUUAGUUUUUUAGCAUUAACCCUUUUUGAAGACGUAAAUAAAGUAGCUGCAUGGUCCAGUUUGCUUAGUCAGUGUACAUGUAUCAAGAUGCAAAUUUCUGUACAUGAUGUACCAAUGUAUCUAGUAUCUUGUUAACCAUGGUGCCACUUGACCAAAACUUGACAGAUCUCUGAAGAAGCAGUGACUUCUGUUUACAUGUAUAUAACACACAGAGUGAAAAGUACUGUGAUACCCUUUGUUCAGU